rnacentral:lncRNA from 1 species
UCAAGUAUUAUUGUUUUUCAAAAUUUAAUUAUCUCAGUACCUAACAAAAUCAUAUGGAAAAAAGAACCAUCAAAGAACUAGUACCUCUCAAGAUAGUAAAGUGUGUAACUUAAUUCAGCAAUUCAUAUUCGUAGCCAACACACUCUUUCAAAAAUAAUAUUCAUAGAAUAUAGCCUGCUACACCAGGAUUUUUUUUUUUUUUCCAAUAAAUAGUAUAGCCAGGCGGCUAAAGAAUUUAGUAUUUUCCCG